GAGUUUGAUCCUGGCUCAGAUUGAACGCUGGCGGCAGGCCUAACACAUGCAAGUCGAGCGGUAGAGAGAAGCUUGCUUCUCUUGAGAGCGGCGGACGGGUGAGUAAUGCCUAGGAAUCUGCCUGGUAGUGGGGGAUAACGUUCGGAAACGGACGCUAAUACCGCAUACGUCCUACGGGAGAAAGCAGGGGACCUUCGGGCCUUGCGCUAUCAGAUGAGCCUAGGUCGGAUUAGCUAGUUGGUGAGGUAAUGGCUCACCAAGGCGACGAUCCGUAACUGGUCUGAGAGGAUGAUCAGUCACACUGGAACUGAGACACGGUCCAGACUCCUACGGGAGGCAGCAGUGGGGAAUAUUGGACAAUGGGCGAAAGCCUGAUCCAGCCAUGCCGCGUGUGUGAAGAAGGUCUUCGGAUUGUAAAGCACUUUAAGUUGGGAGGAAGGGCAGUUACCUAAUACGUGAUUGUUUUGACGUUACCGACAGAAUAAGCACCGGCUAACUCUGUGCCAGCCGCC
rnacentral:rRNA from 2 species